UGUAUCAAGCGUCUAUAUGCAAAGAAAAGCCAAAAACUCUGGUUUUUAUCAUUAAAUGAAGAUAUAGCCUAAAGAUGCUUUGCGAGCUUUACGGCAUAACCAUAUUUCAUUGCCCAGGCCCCUACCCCCCCUGUUGGCAGGCCUGAUCAUAAAGAAUAUAAUCAUUGUCACUUAAGGUCAUCACUGCCUAAAGAAGAUGAGGCACUGUCUUCCAAAAUUCCCUUUAAGGCCUCAGCUGUUGUAAGCCUUGCUUUGAUAGCCAUUUUAAUUCUCUUAUGUAUUUAUAAAGAAGAAAGAGAUGAUAAUAAAACAGUUCUAUGUUAUCGAUUUUGGGGUCCAUUGAUUUGAAAUAUGGUAGACAUUAAUUUCUUAAAUAUGGUUUAUCUAUGCUCUAUGUCAUACCUGUGGGACAAUACAGUUAUAUAAAACUUCGACCUCUAAUCUGAAACAAAAUGCCCUGGGGUUCAUUGCACUCCAAAAAUUAUGACUAGGGUUUAAAUAACAAUAACUUUUAUGUUAUUCUUUAUUUUAAUACUGGCUUAAAACUUUGUGAUCCAGUUCAGGUUUUAAAAUAGGUGUGUGUUUCAUAAUUGUACAGAAUAUAUAGCAGGUCACUGAUUUUUUCUAACUUUGGAAUGUGAAGUUUUGCAAUACAUUUAUAAAAGUGAAGUUGGAAAUGAUGGAAAUCCAAAGACACCCCCUUAUAUUAAGUAGAAAUUAAUGUGAGUGUUGUAGUGUAAGCACAAACGAUUUCAGAUACUACAGGUUGUGAUAUUUGUUAGAUAUCCAACUAACCCAUUAUCCAAGACUUAUUUCACAAAACUUAUUGCUAAUAAAAAGGUAUGUCACAAAAACAUAAAAAUACUGGUAAUAUGAAAAUUGAGUUGUUCUCACAUAAGAGAAAUAGUUGUCUUUAGAUCACAUUGACUGUGUAUUUCACACAUUAGUUUGGAAAGUUAGACUUUGUGUGAAAACUUAUUCCUUAGAUGUAGUAUGACAUGCAUGUUUAGAAGUCUUACUUUCAACUGCUGUUAUUUAUCUGAUGAAAAGACCUGUGUUUGCUCUUUUGUUGUGGAGUUUCCAUUGCAGUGUGUAUCACAAGAUUAGUUUUUUAAGGUGAAAUACUUUAUCAUUAAAAUUGUUUUAGGGUUUUUAUUGUAGUAAUAACAAACUACAACUUUCAUGGAUACAUACACGUUAGGAAGCACUUAACGUUGAAGUGCCAAGUGCAUGUAAAGAGAUUCAAGAAUUUUUUUAAAUUCCAAUUUUUCUUCUAUUUGAAGUGGAUUUUGUUUCAAACUUACUUAGUAGAACAACUUAUUUAGUAGAACAAAGCCACACAUAUCAAAGUGUGGUAAGGUUUCUUGUGCCACAUCAUAUGAAUAUUUUUAGUGUACCAGCAGUAUUGUAAUAUAAUUUGAGAAAGUGUUGUGAUUUAUUUUCUUAAUUUUUGAAAACAAGCUAUCUUGAAGUAUCUGUCGCUGACAGUAUGUAUUUAUUGAGGAGUUGGAUAGUGCACUGAGAAGUACAUAUCAGGUUGGUAGGAACGAGAGUUGGAUAGUGCAUUGAGAAGUACAUAUCAGGUUGGUAGGAACAAGAGUUGGAUAGUGCACUAAGAAGUACAUAUCAGGUUGGUAGGAACAAGAGCUGGAUAGUGCAGUGAGAAGUACAUAUCAGGUUGGUAGGAACAAGAGCUGGAUAGUGCAGUGAGAAGUACAUAUCAGGUUGGUAGGAACGAGAGUUGGAUAGUGCAUUGAGAAGUACAUAGGUUGGUAGGAAUAAGAGCUGGAUAGUGCAAUAAGAAGUACAUAUCAGGUUGGUAGGAACAAGAGUUGGAUAGUGCACUAAGAAGUACAUAUCAGGUUGGUAGGAACAAGGGCUGGAUAGUGCAGUGAGAAGUACAUAUCAGGUUGGUAGGAAUAAGAGCUGGAUAGUGCAAUAAGAAGUACAUAUCAGGUUGGUAGGAACAAGAGUUGGAUAGUGCACUAAGAAGUACAUAUCAGGUUGGUAGGAAUAAGAGCUGGAUAGUGCAAUAAGAAGUACAUAUCAGGUUGGUAGGAACAAGAGUUGGAUAGUGCACUAAGAAGUACAUAUCAGGUUGGUAGGAACAAGAGUUGAAUAGUGCACUAAGAAGUACAUAUCAGGUUGGUAGGAACAAGAGCUGGAUAGUGCAGUGAGAAGUACAUAGGUUGGUAGGAACAAGAGCUGGAUAGUGCACUAAGAAGUACAUAUCAGGUUGGUAGGAACAAGAGUUGAAUAGUGCACUAAGAAGUACAUAUCAGGUUGCUAGCAACAGUUCAAGAGGAACUAUGAAGCAAAUUUUUUAAAUAUUCAAAAGUCGACAUCACAUGUAUAAUUUGCAUCCAUAUUUUAUAGGAAUAAUGAGCUCAUCAUGAAAUUGAUGUCUUUUUAACAGUAUUUGAAGUUUUAAUGUAACAAUAAUGUUUUUUAGCAUUACUUUUUAUGAAUUUUGAAUAAUAUACAUAGGUUUCCUGUUGUAUUGAAAAAAAACGGUCAAUGAUUGAGAUGAGAGCCGUGUUAUUCUUUAUUUCAGUAUCACUAGCUGGUGUUAAAACGACCUUAAAUUAUCUUCUGGUCUUAUUUUCUUCUUAUAUUUUUUAAGAUUAUUAGAAUUAAACAUAUGCUUUCUCAGGUUAUGGAUAAUUCUAGCAAUUCAGCCUUUCCGUGAGCUUCUUGUUCUGGUGUUCCGAUAAAAGAUUGGUAUCUGUUGCUUCAUGUAACUGAAAUAAGGCAUCUUUUAAUAUAUUUUCCUUUAUAUUAAGAAAGUCAUUUUUUUAAAACUAAUUUUCUAAAUUUUUGGUGGAUGAAUAAUAAGUGCAUGGGCAAGUUUACUUCUAAUUUGUUUUUGCCAAGGUGUGUAUACAUGUUGAAAUUGUAAGCUAGAAAACAAAAGAUUUAAAUAAAGUUGUUUUUGUUUGA